GCAGUCGAGCGCGUAGCAAUACGAGCGGCGGACGGGUGAGUAACACGUAAACAAUCUGCCCUCAAGUGGGGAAUAACUAUCCCAACGGAUAGCUAAUACCGCAUAAGGAUGGAGGUGGCAUCACCUCUUCUCGAAAGGCUUCGGCCGCUUAAGGAUGAGUUUGCGUCCCAUUAGUUUGUUGGCGGGGUAACGGCCCACCAAGACUACGAUGGGUAUCCGGCCUGAGAGGGUGUACGGACACAUUGGGACUGAGAUACGGCCCAGACUCCUACGGGAGGCAGCAGUAGGGAAUUUUGCGCAAUGGGGGAAACCCUGACGCAGCAACGCCAUGUGUGGGAUGAAGCAUUUCGGUGUGUAAACCACUGUCAGCAGGGAAUAAAAGGUCCUCACGGACAUUUGAAUGUACCUGCAAAGGAAGCGCCGGCUAACUUCGUGCCAGCAGCCGCGGUAAUACGAGGGGCGCAAGUGUUGUUCGGAAUCACUGGGCGUAAAGGGAGCGUAGGCGGGCUUUUAAGUUAGGUGUUUAAUCCCGGGGCCCAACCCCGGACCGGCACCUAAAACUGGGAGUCUUGAAUAGUGGAGAGGUCAGUGGAAUUGGGGGUGUAGCGGUGGAAUGCGUAGAGAUCCCCAAGAACACCAGUUGCGAAGGCGGCUGACUGGACACAUAUUGACGCUGAGGCUCGAAAGCAUGGGGAGCAAACAGGAUUAGAUACCCUGGUAGUCCAUGCCGUAAACGAUGAAUACUAGGUAUUGGGCCCGUCAACGGUCCAGUGCCGCAGCUAACGCGUUAAGUAUUCCGCCUGGGGAGUACGGUCGCAAGACUGAAACUCAAAGGAAUUGAC
rnacentral:rRNA from 2 species